rnacentral:rRNA from 2 species
UUGGACCUGAUAUCAGGCAAGAUUACCCGCUGAACUUAAGCUAC